rnacentral:rRNA from 1 species
UACGUAGGGGGCAAGCGUUGUCCGGAUUUAUUGGGCGUAAAGAGCGUGUAGGCGGCUGGGUAGGUCCGUUGUGAAAACUCGAGGCUCAACCUCGAGACGCCGAUGGAAACCCUCCAGCUAGAGUCCGGAAGAGGAGAGUGGAAUUCCUGGUGUAGGGGUGAAAUGCGCAGAUAUCAGGAAGAACACCCGUGGCUAAGGCGGCUCUCUAGUACGGUACUGACGCUGAGACGCGAAAGCGUGGGGAGCGAACAGG